rnacentral:lncRNA from 1 species
AAUGAUCCACCUCAGCCUCCCAAGUAGCUGGGACCACAGGUGUCUGCCACUACACUUGGCUAAUUUUUUAAUUUUUUGUAGAGAUAGGAGCUUGCUAAGUUGCCCAGGUUGGUUUAGAACUCCUGGCUUCAAGCAGUCCUCCCGCCUUGGGCCCCCAAAGUGCUGGGGUUACAGGCGUGAGCCACUGUGCCCAGCAUGUGCCCUGUUUUAAGUGUAUCUCCUGCUGUAGUCCGUUAACGUGUGCACAUCUCUUCUGUGUUUACUGUGUACCUGCUCUAUGCUGAGAAGAAUGUCUUUUCAAAACUCACACUCUCCCUUAGGAGAGAGAGGUGGCCACAUGAAUGGAGAAUGACUGCAUAGCAUGCUGAGGGCUGUGGUAAAAGAGGCCGAAUGGUGAGCUGCCAGGAGGACAAAUGGAGGUGAGUUUGCUCAACUACAGACCUGUCUUCAAGUAUUUCACUGAAGGAAGGCUGCUUGCCACAGACAUAAACCUCUGUCAACAACCUCUCCCAAUUGCAAACGCAGCAGCCUUCUCCCCAGAACCUCCCAGUUUCCUUUCUCUUGGAGGAUUUUGCCGAAAGGGUACCUGAAUAAAGUCAUCCCAUGAGGAAAAGGCACAGUGGGGACUAGAAUGCAGGACCAUCUGUCGCUACAGCCCACGUUCUGCGUCCGUGUCUCUAUACCUCAUGAGCUAUUCUGCUAUGGAAAGUGCCCACGUGAGCUCUCAGUCAGGUUCUGCUCUUGUUCCCAGAGGUUUUAAAAUCCAGCUUUCCCUGGAAAUCCUGCAUGCCUGUUGAAUAAAUG